rnacentral:rRNA from 1 species
UUUUAACGGCCGCAGUUGGAAGCUGUGCUAAGGUAGCGUAAUAAGUUGUCCUUUAAAUGAGGAAGUGAAUGAAUGGCUUGACGUAAGAAAUUCUGUCUCCAAGAAAAUUUAUGAAAUUUUCUUCUUAGUGAAAAGACUGAGAUUUAAUUAAAAGACGAGAAGACCCUAUUGAGCUUGUAAUUAUUAGCAUAUAAGCGUGUUAAAAAAGUUUGGUUGGGGUAACCAGGGAGUAUAAAUAACCUCCCUUAAGUAAUAGAAAUCCAAAAUUUUUGAAAAAAGAAAAAGUUACCGUAGGGAUAACAGCGUUAUCUUUUCUAAGAGAGCAAAUUGAAGAAAAG